CCAGACCGCCAGCUAAGGUCCCAAAGUCAUGGUUAAGUGGGAAACGAUGUGGGAAGGCCCAGACAGCCAGGAUGUUGGCUUAGAAGCAGCCAUCAUUUAAAGAAAGCGUAAUAGCUCACUGGUCGAGUCGGCCUGCGCGGAAGAUGUAACGGGGCUAAACCAUGCACCGAAGCUGCGGCAGCGACACUCAGGUGUUGUUGGGUAGGGGAGCGUUCUGUAAGCCUGCGAAGGUGGCCUGUGAGGGUUGCUGGAGGUAUCAGAAGUGCGAAUGCUGACAUAAGUAACGAUAAAGCGGGUGAAAAGCCCGCUCGCCGGAAGACCAAGGGUUCCUGUCCAACGUUAAUCGGGGCAGGGUGAGUCGACCCCUAAGGCGAGGCCGAAAGGCGUAGUCGAUGGGAAACGGGUUAAUAUUCCCGUACUUGGUGUUACUGCGAAGGGGGGACGGAGAAGGCUAUGUUGGCCGGGCGACGGUUGUCCCGGUUUAAGCGUGUAGGUGUGUGUUCCAGGUAAAUCCGGUUCACUUUAACACUGAGGCGUGAUGACGAGGCACUACGGUGCUGAAGCAACAAAUGCCCUGCUUCCAGGAAAAGCCUCUAAGCAUCAGGUAACAUCAAAUCGUACCCCAAACCGACACAGGUGGUCAGGUAGAGAAUACCAAGGCGCUUGAGAGAACUCGGGUGAAGGAACUAGGCAAAAUGGUGCCGUAACUUCGGGAGAAGGCACGCUGACACGUAGGUGAAGUGAUUUACUCAUGGAGCUGAAGUCAGUCGAAGAUACCAGCUGGCUGCAACUGUUUAUUAAAAACACAGCACUGUGCAAACACGAAAGUGGACGUAUACGGUGUGACGCCUGCCCGGUGCCGGAAGGUUAAUUGAUGGGGUCAGCGCAAGCGAAGCUCCUGAUCGAAGCCCCGGUAAACGGCGGCCGUAACUAUAACGGUCCUAAGGUAGCGAAAUUCCUUGUCGGGUAAGUUCCGACCUGCACGAAUGGCGUAAUGAUGGCCAGGCUGUCUCCACCCGAGACUCAGUGAAAUUGAACUCGCUGUGAAGAUGCAGUGUACCCGCGGCAAGACGGAAAGACCCCGUGAACCUUUACUAUAGCUUGACACUGAACAUUGAGCCUUGAUGUGUAGGAUAGGUGGGAGGCUUUGAAGUGUGGACGCCAGUCUGCAUGGAGCCGGCCUUGAAAUACCACCCUUUAAUGUUUGAUGUUCUAACGUGGACCCGUGAUCCGGGUUGCGGACAGUGUCUGGUGGGUAGUUUGACUGGGGCGGUCUCCUCCUAAAGAGUAACGGAGGAGCACGAAGGUUGGCUAAUCCUGGUCGGACAUCAGGAGGUUAGUGCAAUGGCAUAAGCCAGCUUGACUGCGAGCGUGACGGCGCGAGCAGGUGCGAAAGCAGGUCAUAGUGAUCCGGUGGUUCUGAAUGGAAGGGCCAUCGCUCAACGGAUAAAAGGUACUCCGGGGAUAACAGGCUGAUACCGCCCAAGAGUUCAUAUCGACGGCGGUGUUUGGCACCUCGAUGUCGGCUCAUCACAUCCUGGGGCUGAAGUAGGUCCCAAGGGUAUGGCUGUUCGCCAUUUAAAGUGGUACGCGAGCUGGGUUUAGAACGUCGUGAGACAGUUCGGUCCCUAUCUGCCGUGGGCGCUGGAGAACUGAGGGGGGCUGCUCCUAGUACGAGAGGACCGGAGUGGACGCAUCACUGGUGUUCGGGUUGUCAUGCCAAUGGCACUGCCCGGUAGCUAAAUGCGGAAGAGAUAAGUGCUGAAAGCAUCUAAGCACGAAACUUGCCCCGAGAUGAGUUCUCCCUGAGACUUUAGGUCUCCUGAAGGAACGUUGAAGACGACGACGUUGAUAGGCCGGGUGUGUAAGCGCAGCGAUGCGUUGAGCUAACCGGUACUAAUGAACCGUGAGGCUUAACCUU
rnacentral:rRNA from 1 species